GACCAGACUACGCGAAGUAAGUUUCGCCUCGCAUCCGUUUUAUUGUAUUCGCAUCCAGAUAGGCACACCGGAUUCCAGGAGAGGAUUACCUACACGUCUCACGGAAUCCUCGCGCAGGAAGAUUCGAGGACCUGUAACCAUAAAAAAUAAACAAAAUCAGAACGAUAUUCUUCUGAAGAAGUAAGGAUAAAAAGCAAAAACUUUCGCUCGUAAUCGAGGAGAAUCGAAGUAUGGCUGACUACGGAGUAGAACGUUGCGAAUCCGUGCACAUAUUCCGAUUCCGUUCACUCCUCGGAAAGGGGGCGGAAAGUGGGGUAAACUUUUUAACUCAAGCUAACUUUGAAAAUUCAAAAUCUGGGUGAAUUUCCUUCACUUGUUUAUUUAUUUAUCAAUUUUUUUUUCGUUUCCCCUCCCUCCCUCGAUCCCCCUGUGGGCAGGGAGCGGAAAACUGGUUAGUUAUCGUCGUUCGUAUUCCUCUUUCGGGAUAUAAUUUAGCAACAAAUCAAAAAGCUUGUGCUCGGGAAUGAAGCAUCUCCUUAUUUUUUCGUUCCUCACCCACACCGGCGUUGCACAAGGAUUCCAAGGCGCCCUGUAUACUUUAUCCAUAAAUAUAAACUCCCGCCAAGGUUUUGUGUUGCGGGGAAACGCGAAGGCUAUAUAUUUCUAUAUAGUGCUAUACGAGGUAUAAUGGGAUACAAAAGUACCUCAAAACUCGCGGGUUUUGAAAGCGUUCGUGUAUAUACCUAUAUACGCGCAAUAUAAACCGCUCAUUGUUCCGAAUAAUAAAGUACAGGUAACAGUCAUUGUGCCGAGGUACCAUUGUUGACUCAAGAUGCGGAAUAUCUUUGGUUUUCACAUCCUACCGCCUUCUCACCUGGGAGACAUUUUACACCCUCAUUAAUUUCGAUUCUCAAUGAAAAGUCUCCAUCUAUUUCAUACUUCAACCAACAACAGCUCCGUCUAUAUCUCCACUCGAAAUAUAAAAGACUGACGCUCAUACGUGCGAUAAUGAUAAUAGAAAAAAUAGUAAUUUCGACUAACAAAAACAAAUGAUCCCUAAUUGGUUGAAUUCUACUCGAAUGACCGACUCGUUUUCAAGGAUAAUUUAUUAUCCGACGGUCGAGUCAGCGAAUCUUAGGUUUGAAUUUUUUUCAUCGAGUCUUUUCCAACCCCCUUCUUUUUUUUUUGGUUUCAUCUAUCUAAUUUCCAAGCGAUCGUUUCACCGAUAAAAACUAAAGUUGCAGAGAAUAUUCUUCACGAACCGCAUCGCGGUUAGUUUUUUCACCUUACGUGCAGUUAUAUCGUCGAAAGCUGUUUUCCGAAUCAACGAGAGAAUUGAGAAAAUAUAUAGGUGGGGUGAAAUCUGUCCAUUUGUUCCAGAGUUUCUUUUCUGGGAUAUUUCUUCGCGGCUAGAACGGUCAAAGGUCACACGGGAUUUACGCUGUAGCUACAUCGUAUCCACCCCCCUCUGCUACCGCCGCUCUCUUACUUUCCACCCUUAAGCCCGCACCCCGCGCAUUCGGUUGUUACGUCAACGGCCGACGGUAGUGAUUUUAGGCGGUAUUAAAGUCCAGGGAGGCGAAUCGAAACACGAUAAAAUUCGUUGAGAGAGAAAUUUCUCUUGGUAAAAUAUUACGGACAAUCCUUCAGUCUCUCCCUCUACGCUCCACCCGCGCAUUCUCGUUCCACUUGUUCUUUUAUUUAUUUAUUUAGCGAUCCUUUUUUUUUCUUCUGUUUGUUGAAACGACAAUCGAUGUUGUUCGUUUCAGCCGAUCGCGUAUGCGUGUAUACAUAUAUUUGCUAUGGAUAAAUUGGUUUCCAUUGAAUCCUCAAAAGGGAGAAUUUUCGAACGGUGCAAGAAAUCGAAUCGUUUCUCCUUUUUUCCUCUCCCUCCUCUUUCGAUUACGCGCAUCGAACGAUUGUUUCGCGAUUCGCGCUAUUAUUCUACACGCCUGAUACUUUUUCAUUCAUCAUCGUGCGCUCGGAUUUUUCGUUCCCAAGGGUUGCGAUGGCGGCAACAUAGAACGGAGUGUUGCGCCGACUGUAGUUUUACUCAUCCUAUACGUGUACCCCGAAAAGCGAAAAACAAAAAAUGAAGAAAACACAAAAAAAAUAAAAAAUAAAAAAAACCCAGUCGAUCGGAAGUCGAACUGGGUCAGCCCGCGGUCUGCCCGUUGUGCGGGUUUGCUCGCGAGAUGAACAAAAACAAGUACGUAAGGGUCUGAAAUACGACUAUGACCGAGCGGAAAAAGUUAAUCAAUUUCUUUCCGCGCUGAGCUGAUGUAAAGAAUUUCAACAAUCGGGAUGCACGCGUAUCGUUGGGGAGAAAAUAAUUCCAUCGAUCGACGUAUAAAUAAGUAAAUUCCCCGCGAUGCCAUUUUUACGAUAUUUUAUUCAUUGUACAAGAGAAAAGCUCGGGCGUCAGCUGUCACCCCCGACAAAUAACAUCGUCAACUCAGUUUCCCUUAUUUAGAUUUCCUCAACCUUUUUUCCAUCUAUUUUUUUAUGCUCAACAUUCGGCCUUGUUUGACAAACAAGUUUGCCCUGAUAUUGCCGGCGCGCCGAUUCCAUAAUAAAAGACGAAUUUCAACGCGAUGAUGGGACACCCGUAUUUCCAUUUUCCCCGCACAAAUUGGAUAUUGGAAAUAUGCGAUGCAG